AGAGUUUGAUCAUGGCUCAGAUUGAACGCUGGCGGCAGGCCUAACACAUGCAAGUCGAGCGCGAAAACACUUCGGUGUGAGUAGAGCGGCGGACGGGUGAGUAAUGCUUGGGAAUCUGCCCAGUAGUGGGGGAUAACGUGUGGAAACGCACGCUAAUACCGCAUACGUCCUACGGGAGAAAGCAGGGGAUCUUCGGACCUUGCGCUAUUGGAUGAGCCCAAGUCAGAUUAGCUAGUUGGUGAGGUAAUGGCUCACCAAGGCGACGAUCUGUAGCUGGUCUGAGAGGAUGAUCAGCCACACUGGGACUGAGACACGGCCCAGACUCCUACGGGAGGCAGCAGUGGGGAAUAUUGCACAAUGGGCGAAAGCCUGAUGCAGCCAUGCCGCGUGUGUGAAGAAGGCUCUAGGGUUGUAAAGCACUUUCAGUGGGGAGGAAAAGUUUAAGAUUAAUACUCUUGAACCUUGACGUACCUGCAGAAGAAGCACCGCAA
rnacentral:rRNA from 1 species